CAACUCCUCCGGCAGGCUUGCAUCUCUGUUGGCCCAGAAAAGCAAGCAGAACACUGUGCAGUUGCAAGACGCUUUGAGCUCAUUUCCUCAUGGAUCCCCCUCCUGAGUUUGGGGUCCCCAGAGCUACUUCAGUUCCAUGUGAGUCCAGAGAUGUCUUGUUGACUUGUGGGGAUGGGCCAGUCCUGACCAUAGUCCUGUUGGGGGUAAGUGACCCUAUGUCACUUUUGUCCUGACCAUAGGUCUGUUGGGAUAAGUGACCCUAUUUCACUUUUGUCUCAUGCACAGGCUUCGUUGGAGUUGGAGCUGACAAGUGACAGAGUCCUCCUGCUCUCUUUCCCCUGACUCUGGGGAGGAAUCACUGAGACCCUGGAGUUCUCUAGCUGUGAAAAUAGACUAAAACUGACGCUAGGGUUAAGAUUAGCUGUGCAGCUAGUGUGCACCUGCAUCUGGCCUCUCCUGCUGUUUGCCAGCUACCUGAGUGCAAAAUCAGUUGCAGUCUUCCUUUGCACAGAACAAAGUAAACCAUCCAGA
rnacentral:lncRNA from 1 species